rnacentral:pre_miRNA from 14 species
AUGCAGCUUGGUAGUAGGCACGUCCAUCUGAAAGACCCCCGGAGUGGGGAGACCCUCACUCAAGUCUCGGGAUGACUCGACCCCCCAAGAACUCACACAAGACC